rnacentral:rRNA from 1 species
UACGGAGGGCGCGAGCGUUAAUCGGAAUUACUGGGCGUAAAGCGCGCGUAGGCUGUUGUGUAAGUUGGGGGUGAAAUCCCACGGCUCAACCGUGGAACAGCCCUUGAUACUGCGCGACUUGAAUCCGGGAGAGGGUGGCGGAAUUCCAGGUGUAGGAGUGAAAUCCGUAGAUAUCUGGAGGAACAUCAGUGGCGAAGGCGGCCACCUGGACCGGUAUUGACCGCUGAGGCGCGAAAGCGUGGGGAGCAAACAGG